AUUGAACGCUGGCGGCAGGCUUAACACAUGCAAGUCGAACGGUAGCAGGAGAAAGCUUGCUUUCUUGCUGACGAGUGGCGGACGGGUGAGUAAUGCUUGGGAAUCUGGCUUAUGGAGGGGGAUAACGACGGGAAACUGUCGCUAAUACCGCGUAGUGUCGAGAGACGAAAGUGCGGGACCGCAAGGCCGCAUGCCAUGAGAUGAGCCCAAGUGGGAUUAGGUAGUUGGUGGGGUAAAGGCCUACCAAGCCUGCGAUCUCUAGCUGGUCUGAGAGGAUGACCAGCCACACUGGAACUGAGACACGGUCCAGACUCCUACGGGAGGCAGCAGUGGGGAAUAUUGCGCAAUGGGGGCAACCCUGACGCAGCCAUGCCGCGUGAAUGAAGAAGGCCUUCGGGUUGUAAAGUUCUUUCGGUAUUGAGGAAGGAGCGUAUGUUAAUAGCAUACAUUAUUGACGUUAAAUACAGAAGAAGCACCGGCUAACUCCGUGCCAGCAGCCGCGGUAAUACGGAGGGGUGGGAGCGUUAAUCGAAUAACUGGGCGUAAAGGGCACGCAGGCGGUUAUUUAAGUGAGGGUGUGAAAGCCCCGGGUUUAGCCUGGGUAUAUCUUUCUCACUGGGCAACUCCAGGA
rnacentral:rRNA from 1 species